UUGGGACCCGCAUGUAAGAGAACCGUUUGUUUGACCGUUUAUUUGACUGUUACCUUACAUGUAGGGCCCACAUGUCAGUAUUUCUGUAAGUUUUUUAGAAAAGCAAUCAGGUCCCUGUAACUUUUUAAAAAAGCAAUCGGGUCCCUGAAUGUUUUAUGGAAAAAGCAAUCGGGCCCUUGCUCCUCUGUGCGCGCUCUCCCGUGCUCAAGAUCGAGAGGAGCGCGCCCGUCACCGUGCCCGCCGGCCAGCAGCCGACGUAAAGAGCGCGCCGGCCAGAAGCCAUGGCGCCGCUGCGGAGAUCCCUCCCGUCGCCCGUCCGAUGCGCGCCGCCGCGGAGCUCCCUUCCAGCGUGCGUGGCGGCCGCGACCUCCUCCUGCCGACGAGCUCCCUCGCCGCACGGCCUAUCUCUCUCUCUCUCUCCCUUUCCUGGGCGUGGCGACCUGAGCCCGUGGCCAUGGAGCUCGGCUGGCGGCGGCCCUGGCCAUGGCGCAAGGAUGGCGGCGGCCCAUGCCCCUGGACGCGACGGGCCGAGUCCCUGCCCCCUGGCCAUGGCGAGCAGUUGGUGGCGGCCCGUGCUGCUGGGUGGCAGCUGGUCCUCCGCGCGGCGCUCCUUCCCGCGGUCGGCCAUGGUUUGCGUGCAGCGGGUGGUGGAGCUUUGGCCUUGGUCAGGAGAAGGAAGAGGAUAAAAGAUAAGAGGAAGAAGAGAGAACUUACAUGUGGGUCCCACAUGUAAGUUAACAGUCAAACAAACGGAUUAUUUAGGAGUGGGUCCAACCUGUCAUAAAACGGUUUAAGUCACUAGCAACGAGUUAUUAGGGUUUUUUGAAACAGCCAACCCCUGACUUAGUAGUUAUCAGCGAAAAAUUAAAAAUCGGUAGUUUUUUGAAACCGUAGCAUGUAAAGUAGUAGUUUUAUGCUAUUUACUCUAAAAAACCAGAGCCUUGAAUUCUUAACCUCAAAGGUUAAUGCUGGAGCAACAUAUGAUGAUCUUAAUGAGGCAGCGAUGACGCACUCUUCUCAGAGCUUCGCAUUCAACCAUGAAAUUUCUGGUAGAUCCAGAUUGUAUCAGGAAUACAACCAGACAGCAAAUUCAGAGAUUCAGAAAAGUGAGAGCUUCUAUAUUCUUCAGAGAUUGAGGUAUGCUUCUGUCAAACAAGUUCAGAUCCAGCAAUAGUCGUUCCAAUACCAUGCAAUUUCUAGUGGCAUCAGGUAUGCUACCUGACAAUUUGUUUCCUGAUAAGAGUUUUUUUUUUUUUGAAACGGAGGCAAAAGCUUUGCCUCAUCCAUUAAAUAAGAGAGAAUAGAGUUAGUUGCAAACAACCCGAGUAUACGGCAUGCGGAUUACUCGCGCAAUAACAAAGACCCUAGUUUCCUGAUAAGAGUCAGUUGAUUAAGGUAUCCCAAGCUACCAACUUCAGUAGGAAGAGGUCCGGAUAGUGUAUGAUAAGUCCAAGUAAAAGGAAAGUGAAAGAAGCUUUAAAAUCUCUAACUUACUUAGAUAUAUAGGAUUCGCUCACAGGUCAAGGGCAAACAGAGUCUUCAACUUCCCCAGGCUUGCUGGAAUCGGUCCCUCCAAGUUGCCAUAGUAUGCAUAAAGCCUACUACUAACCUGUCUAAGAUUUCCAGGUGAUGAAGAUAGGUAAGUAUUCGCCAACUCAGCGUCGCCACCCGUUGUCCAUGGCUACAUGCCAUGCCCUCCAGCUGCAGAAGCUAGUGCUACCGUUCCAGGAGAUGAGCAGGUCAGAGCCAUGGCUGCUGAGUCCCGCCCUGACCGCGAGCAGUGUGCCAGCCUCAUUGCUCUCCAGGAGGCCAUUAGUACAGUCAUGAUGGAAAGGGCGAAAGACAGCAAAAGCUUAUGUGUACCUGCUACCUACCAACAAAGAUUGCUGACAUGGCCUUCUUAUAGGCCUUCCCUGGUCAAAGCUGGCAUGUACUACAUUGACAGCUUGUGAGAAUCCCAGCUGCCUUUUGACAUCACUUUUCAAUGUAUUCACGCAUGACAUAUCCUUAUGGUUGUUAUUAUCUU